rnacentral:rRNA from 1 species
CCUACGGGAGGCAGCAGUCGAGAAUCAUUCACAAUGGGGGAAACCCUGAUGGUGCGACGCCGCGUGGGGGAAUGAAGGUCUUCGGAUUUUAAACCCCUGUCAUGUGGGAGCAAAUUAAAAAGAUAGUACCACAAGAGGAAGCGACGGCUAACUCUGUGCCAGCAGCCGCGGUAAUACAGAGUUCUCAAGCGUUGUUCGGAAUCACUGGGCGUAAAGCGUGCGUAGGCUGUUUCGUAAGUCGUGUGUGAAAGGCGCGGGCUCAACCCGCGGACGGCACAUGAUACUGCGAGACUAGAGUAAUGGAGGGGGAACCGGAAUUCUCGGUGUAGCAGUGAAAUGCGUAGAGAUCGAGAGGAACACUCGUGGCGAAGGCGGGUUCCUGGACAUUAACUGACGCUGAGGCACGAAGGCCAGGGGAGCGAAAGGGAUUAGAUACCCUUGUAGUC